rnacentral:rRNA from 1 species
CUUAAAGGAAUUGACGGGGGCCCGCACAAGCGGUGGAGCAUGUGGUUUAAUUCGAUGCAACGCGAAGAACCUUACCCACUCUUGACAUCCAGAGAACUUAGCAGAGAUGCUUUGGUGCCUUCGGGAACUCUGAGACAGGUGCUGCAUGGCUGUCGUCAGCUCGUGUUGUGAAAUGUUGGGUUAAGUCCCGCAACGAGCGCAACCCUUAUCCUUUGUUGCCAGCGAUUCGGUCGGGAACUCAAAGGAGACUGCCAGUGAUAAACUGGAGGAAGGUGGGGAUGACGUCAAGUCAUCAUGGCCCUUACGGGUAGGGCUACACACGUGCUACAAUGGCAUAUACAAAGAGAAGCGACCUCGCGAGGGCAAGCGGACCUCAUAAAGUAUGUCGUAGUCCGGAUUGGAGUCUGCAACUCGACUCCAUGAAGUCGGAAUCGCUAGUAAUCGUAGAUCAGAAUGCUACGGUGAAUACGUUCCCGGGCCUUGUACACACCGCCCGUCACACCAUGGGAGUGGGUUGCAAAAGAAGUAGGUAGCUUAACCUUCGGGAGGGCGCUUACCACUUUGUGAUUCAUGACUGGGGUGAAGUCGUAACAAGGUAAC